rnacentral:rRNA from 1 species
GACGAACGCUGGCGGCGUGCUUAACACAUGCAAGUCGAACGGAAAGGCCCUGCUUGCCGGGUACUCGAGUGGCGAACGGGUGAGUAACACGUGGGUGAUCUGCCCUGCACUUCGGGAUAAGCCUGGGAAACUGGGUCUAAUACCGGAUAGGAGCCAUUUUUAGUGUGAUGGUUGGAAAGUUUUUUCGGUGUAGGAUGAGCUCGCGGCCUAUCAGCUUGUUGGUGGGGUAAUGGCCUACAAAGGCGGCGACGGGUAGCCGGCCUGAGAGGGUGGACGGCCACAUUGGGACUGAGAUGCGGCCCAGACUCCUACGGGAGGCAGAAGUGGGGAAUAUUGCACAAUGGGCGCAAGCCUGAUGCAGCGACGCCGCGUGGGGGAUGACGGCCUUCGGGUUGUAAACUCCUUUCGCUAGGGACGAAGCUUUUGUGACGGUACCUAGAUAAGAAGCACCGGCUAACUACGUG